AGGGCCAUAUCACGCUGAAAGACAAAUUCUCGUACGAUCACCGAAGUUAAGCAACGCCGAUCCUGAUCAGUACUUCGAUGGGUAACCUCUUGGGAAUACCAGGUGCUGUAC